AUGAACGCUAGCGACAGGCUUAACACAUGCAAGUCGAGGGGCAGCACAGGUAGCAAUACCGGGUGGCGACCGGCGCACGGGUGAGUAACGCGUAUGCAACUUGCCUAUCAGAGGGGGAUAACCCGGCGAAAGUCGGACUAAUACCGCAUGAAGCAGGGGCCCCGCAUGGGGAUAUUUGCUAAAGAUUCAUCGCUGAUAGAUAGGCAUGCGUUCCAUUAGGCAGUUGGCGGGGUAACGGCCCACCAAACCGACGAUGGAUAGGGGUUCUGAGAGGAAGGUCCCCCACAUUGGUACUGAGACACGGACCAAACUCCUACGGGAGGCAGCAGUGAGGAAUAUUGGUCAAUGGCCGAGAGGCUGAACCAGCCAAGUCGCGUGAGGGAUGAAGGUUCUAUGGAUCGUAAACCUCUUUUAUAAGGGAAUAAAGUGCGGGACGUGUCCCGUUUUGUAUGUACCUUAUGAAUAAGGAUCGGCUAACUCCGUGCCAGCAGCCGCGGUAAUACGGAGGAUCCGAGCGUUAUCCGGAUUUAUUGGGUUUAAAGGGUGCGUAGGCGGCCUUUUAAGUCAGCGGUGAAAGUCUGUGGCUCAACCAUAGAAUUGCCGUUGAAACUGGGGGGCUUGAGUAUGUUUGAGGCAGGCGGAAUGCGUGGUGUAGCGGUGAAAUGCAUAGAUAUCACGCAGAACCCCGAUUGCGAAGGCAGCCUGCCAAGCCAUUACUGACGCUGAUGCACGAAAGCGUGGGGAUCAAACAGGAUUAGAUACCCUGGUAGUCCACGCAGUAAACGAUGAUCACUAGCUGUUUGCGAUACACUGUAAGCGGCACAGCGAAAGCGUUAAGUGAUCCACCUGGGGAGUACGCCGGCAACGGUGAAACUCAAAGGAAUUGACGGGGGCCCGCACAAGCGGAGGAACAUGUGGUUUAAUUCGAUGAUACGCGAGGAACCUUACCCGGGUUUGAACGCAUUCGGACCGAGGUGGAAACACCUUUUCUAGCAAUAGCCGUUUGCGAGGUGCUGCAUGGUUGUCGUCAGCUCGUGCCGUGAGGUGUCGGCUUAAGUGCCAUAACGAGCGCAACCCUUGCCACUAGUUACUAACAGGUAAAGCUGAGGACUCUGGUGGGACUGCCAGCGUAAGCUGCGAGGAAGGCGGGGAUGACGUCAAAUCAGCACGGCCCUUACAUCCGGGGCGACACACGUGUUACAAUGGCGUGGACAAAGGGAAGCCACCUGGCGACAGGGAGCGAAUCCCCAAACCACGUCUCAGUUCGGAUCGGAGUCUGCAACCCGACUCCGUGAAGCUGGAUUCGCUAGUAAUCGCGCAUCAGCCAUGGCGCGGUGAAUACGUUCCCGGGCCUUGUACACACCGCCCGUCAAGCCAUGGGAGCCGGGGGUACCUGAAGUACGUAACCGCAAGGAUCGUCCUAGGGUAAAACUGGUGACUGGGGCU
rnacentral:rRNA from 1 species